rnacentral:rRNA from 1 species
GACGAACGCUGGCGGCGUGCUUAACACAUGCAAGUCGAACGGAAAGGCCUGCUUUCCCUUGUGGAUUGCGGGUACUCGAGUGGCGAACGGGUGAGUAACACGUGAGUGAUCUGCCCCCAACUUGGGUAUAAGCCUGGGAAACUGGGUCUAAUUCCCGAUAGGACUGCAGGGUGGUGCCUGUGGUGGAAAACGAUUUUCUAGUGGUUGGGGAUGAGCUCGCGGCCUAUCAGCUUGUUGGUGGGGUAAUGGCCUACCAAGGCGGCGACGGGUAGCCGGCCUGAGAGGGUGGACGGCCACAUUGGGACUGAGAGACGGCCCAGACUCCUACGGGAGGCAGCAGUGGAGAAUAUUGCACAAUGGGCGGAAGCCUGAUGCAGCGACGCCGCGUGGGGGAUGACGGCCUUCGGGUUGUAAACUCCUUUCGGCCGCGAGGAAGCCACCUGGUUGGAAGGGUGGUGACGGUAGUGGUAGAAGAAGCACCGGCUAACUACGUG